rnacentral:tRNA from 1 species
GGGGUUAUAGCUCCAAUGGUAGAGCACUGGCCUAACAAGCAUGAGGCCCUGAAUUCAAAUCCCAGUAUCUCCA